rnacentral:rRNA from 1 species
GAUGAACGCUGGCGGCGUGCCUAAUACAUGCAAGUCGAGCGAACGGACGAGAAGCUUGCUUUUCUGAUGUUAGCGGCGGACGGGUGAGUAACACGUGGAUAACCUACCUAUAAGACUGGGAUAACUUCGGGAAACCGGAGCUAAUACCGGAUAAUAUUUUGAACCGCAUGGUUCAAAAGUGAAAGACGGUCUUGCUGUCACUUAUAGAUGGAUCCGCGCUGCAUUAGCUAGUUGGUAAGGUAACGGCUUACCAAGGCAACGAUGCAUAGGCGACCUGAGAGGGUGAUCGGCCACCCUGGAACUGAGACACGGUCCAGGCUCCUACGGGAGGCCGCAGUAGGGAAUCUUCCGCAAAGGGCGAAAGCCUGACGGAGCAACGCCGCGUGAGUGAUGAAGGUCUUCGGAUCGUAAAACUCUGUUAUUAGGGAAGAACAUAUGUGUAAGUAACUGUGCACAUCUUGACGGUACCUAAUCAGAAAGCCACGGCUAACUACGUG